rnacentral:rRNA from 1 species
GACAGAGGGUGCAAACGUUGCUCGGAAUUACUGGGCGUAAAGCGCGUGUAGGCGGACCAGCAAGUCGGACGUGAAAUCCCUGAGCUCAACUCAGGAACUGCAUCCGAAACUGCUGGUCUGGAGUGGUGGAGAGGGAAGCAGAAUUCCUGGUGUAGAGGUGAAAUUCGUAGAUAUGGGGAGGAACACCGGUGGCGAAGGCGACCAUCUGGACAGAUACUGACGCUGAGACGCGAAAGCGUGGGGAGCAAACAGG